rnacentral:lncRNA from 1 species
AUGCAACCUGCGGCGCUGGUCUACCAAGCCGGGCGGCCUCGCAGACGCAGACGCGGCUCUGGCCGAUCACAGCGCAUCGGCACCGGCCGGGCGGGCUCCCCCGGCUCUCUUUGUGCUUCUCUCGGCCUCGGGGCUCAGCCCGUACCGGGGGGACGCGGGGAGCCCGGAGGAUCGAAGGCAGCUUGGAGCCCGCCCGGUCGCGGCGUGGCCGCCCCGGCACCCCGAGCAGCUCUCGCCGGCAGCUCCAGAGAGCUCCCCAGAGCCUGCAGAGCCCCGGCGGCUGUGGGGGUUCUGCCCAAUGCACGCCGCCGCCCUGCAGCCACCUUGUCCCUGCUGCCCUGGAACCGUCUGUCUGGCACCUCGGAGCCGCCGUUACCGCCUCCAGUCAAUCCCAGACCCCCGCGGCUGCCGCUUCGUAGAGCAGUUCGACCCCGUGCUCCUUGCCUCCCUCUGUCUCCUUUUCCUUCUUUCCCUCCCAUUCUGUUCUUCUGUUGUCCCACGGUGUUCGGCCCUGUUCCCUUUCUCUGUCUGCGACCCUGCCCUGUCUCUGCCCUUGUCCUGCCUUGUUGCUCUUUCUGUCUUUCUCCCCAACCUGCCUCUGUUUCAGUUUUUGUCCUGUUUUUCUUCUUCCUCUUCCCUUCCCCUGUACGGUUCUCUCCCUCCCCCGAUUCCACACCCGUCUCCCCGUACCCUCACUAUCCCCCACCGUCGCUCGGACACGGAGCUGUCCGUUCAGCACCACCGCACGUCCGCCACCCCCCUCCACCCCCUCCCAGAGGCUGUGAGGGGGGACAAGCUGUGCUCGGGGCCUUGAGGUGCCGCCGUCCCACGAGACACGUCCUGCUCGAACCAGCAUCUGAAGCAAGGGGAAAUCGGGGAACAGUCUCUGCCAGGGUGCUUAGUACCGCCCUGUACAACAGCAGGUGUAUAGGAGAGGAUUUGGUACGAGCAGCGGUUCUUGGGCAGCAUGGCAGGCUGGUAGAAACUGUGCUGACAUGUAUUCCCCUCCGACAGCUGCACGACCUCAGCCCCACUGCCCACCUACACAGCCCUCACACUGUCUGCACAGGCGCUGUGCACAGCCUCUCAUUCUCCCACACACCUACAUGCUGCACCCACUCAGCUCUGAUGAGAAGCGUCCCUUCUCCCUCCACAGACAAACCACCCAUGGCAGAGAAAGGGGAAAGAAGAGGACUGCUGGGCUGUAGGCAGCUUUCCUGGGUCAGGAUUCACAGAAAGAUGACUUUAGCCUAA